UACGUAGGUGGCAAGCGUUGUCCGGAAUUAUUGGGCGUAAAGCGCGCGCAGGCGGCCUCUUAAGUCUGAUGUGAAAGCCCCCGGCUCAACCGGGGAGGGCCAUUGGAAACUGGGAGGCUUGAGUAUAGGAGAGAAGAGUGGAAUUCCACGUGUAGCGGUGAAAUGCGUAGAGAUGUGGAGGAACACCAGUGGCGAAGGCGACUCUUUGGCCUAUAACUGACGGCUGAGGCGCGAAAGCGUGGGAGCAAACAGG
rnacentral:rRNA from 1 species